GAUGAACGCUGGCGGCGUGCCUAAUACAUGCAAGUCGAGCGAACAGACGAGGAGCUUGCUCCUCUGACGUUAGCGGCGGACGGGUGAGUAACACGUGGAUAACCUACCUAUAAGACUGGGAUAACUUCGGGAAACCGGAGCUAAUACCGGAUAAUAUAUUGAACCGCAUGGUUCAAUAGUGAAAGACGGUUUUGCUGUCACUUAUAGAUGGAUCCGCGCCGCAUUAGCUAGUUGGUAAGGUAACGGCUUACCAAGGCAACGAUGCGUAGCCGACCUGAGAGGGUGAUCGGCCACACUGGAACUGAGACCCGGUCCAGACUCCUACGGGAGGCAGCAGUAGGGAAUCUUCCGCAAUGGGCGAAAGCUUGACGGAGCAACGCCGCGUGAGUGAUGAAGGUCUUCGGAUCGUAAAACUCUGUUAUUAGGGAAGAACAAAUGUGUAAUUAACUAUGCACGUCUUGACGGUACCUAAUCAGAAAGCCACGGCUAACUACGUG
rnacentral:rRNA from 1 species